rfam:Rattus norvegicus chromosome 3, whole genome shotgun sequence.
GGGGAUUUAGCUCAGUGGUAGAGCACUUGCCUAGCAAGAGCAAGGCCCUGGGUUCGGUCCCCAGCUCCCCG